rnacentral:tRNA from 1 species
UGUCCAAUGCGGGGAUCGAACCCGGGUCGUAGUGGUCGUAAACCAAACAGUUUAACCAGCAUUCCACCGACCCGUGAAACAAACAAAC